GGGUUGUGAGGUUAAGCGACUAAGCGUACACGGUGGAUGCCCUGGCAGUCAGAGGCGAUGAAGGACGUGCUAAUCUGCGAAAAGCGCCGGCGAGGUGAUAUGAACCUUUGACCCGGCGAUGUCCGAAUGGGGAAACCCAGUGUGAUUCGUCACACUAUCGUUAACUGAAUACAUAGGUUAACGAGGCGAACCGGGGGAACUGAAACAUCUAAGUACCCCGAGGAAAAGAAAUCAACCGAGAUUCCCCCAGUAGCGGCGAGCGAACGGGGAGCAGCCCAGAGUCUGAAUCAGCUUGUGUGUUAGUGGAAGCGUCUGGAAAGUCGCACGGUACAGGGUGACAGUCCCGUACACGAAAAUGCACAGGUUGUGAACUCGAAGAGUAGGGCGGGACACGUGGUAUCCUGUCUGAAUAUGGGGGGACCAUCCUCCAAGGCUAAAUACUCCUGACUGACCGAUAGUGAACCAGUACCGUGAGGGAAAGGCGAAAAGAACCCCGGCGAGGGGAGUGAAAAAGAACCUGAAACCGUGUACGUACAAGCAGUGGGAGCACCUUCGUGGUGUGACUGCGUACCUUUUGUAUAAUGGGUCAGCGACUUAUAUUCUGUAGCAAGGUUAACCGUAUAGGGGAGCCGAAGGGAAACCGAGUCUUAACUGGGCGUUAAGUUGCAGGGUAUAGACCCGAAACCCGGUGAUCUAGCCAUGGGCAGGUUGAAGGUUGGGUAACACUAACUGGAGGACCGAACCGACUAAUGUUGAAAAAUUAGCGGAUGACUUGUGGCUGGGGGUGAAAGGCCAAUCAAACCGGGAGAUAGCUGGUUCUCCCCGAAAGCUAUUUAGGUAGCGCCUCGUGAAUUCAUCUUCGGGGGUAGAGCACUGUUUCGGCUAGGGGGCCAUCCCGGCUUACCAACCCGAUGCAAACUACGAAUACCGAAGAAUGUUAUCACGGGAGACACACGGCGGGUGCUAACGUCCGUCGUGAAGAGGGAAACAACCCAGACCGCCAGCUAAGGUCCCAAAGUCAUGGUUAAGUGGGAAACGAUGUGGGAAGGCACAGACAGCCAGGAUGUUGGCUUAGAAGCAGCCAUCAUUUAAAGAAAGCGUAAUAGCUCACUGGUCGAGUCGGCCUGCGCGGAAGAUGUAACGGGGCUAAACCAUGCACCGAAGCUGCGGCAGCGACNNNNNNNNNNNNNNNNNNNNNNNNNNNNNNNNNNNNNNNNNNNNNNNNNNNNNNNNNNNNNNNNNNNNNNNNNNNNNUGCUGGAGGUAUCAGAAGUGCGAAUGCUGACAUAAGUAACGAUAAAGCGGGUGAAAAGCCCGCUCGCCGGAAGACCAAGGGUUCCUGUCCAACGUUAAUCGGGGCAGGGUGAGUCGACCCCUAAGGCGAGGCCGAAAGGCGUAGUCGAUGGGAAACAGGUUAAUAUUCCUGUACUUGGUGUUACUGCGAAGGGGGGACGGAGAAGGCUAUGUUAGCCGGGCGACGGUUGUCCCGGUUUAAGCAUGUAGGCGGAGGUUCCAGGUAAAUCCGGUACCUUUUAACGCUGAGGUGUGAUGACGAGGCACUACGGUGCUGAAGUAACAAAUGCCCUGCUUCCAGGAAAAGCCUCUAAGCAUCAGGUAACACGAAAUCGUACCCCAAACCGACACAGGUGGUCAGGUAGAGAAUACCAAGGCGCUUGAGAGAACUCGGGUGAAGGAACUAGGCAAAAUGGUGCCGUAACUUCGGGAGAAGGCACGCUGAUAUGUAGGUGAAGCCCCUGCGGGUGGAGCUGAAAUCAGUCGAAGAUACCAGCUGGCUGCAACUGUUUAUUAAAAACACAGCACUGUGCAAACACGAAAGUGGACGUAUACGGUGUGACGCCUGCCCGGUGCCGGAAGGUUAAUUGAUGGGGUUAGCGGCAACGCGAAGCUCUUGAUCGAAGCCCCGGUAAACGGCGGCCGUAACUAUAACGGUCCUAAGGUAGCGAAAUUCCUUGUCGGGUAAGUUCCGACCUGCACGAAUGGCGUAAUGAUGGCCAGGCUGUCUCCACCCGAGACUCAGUGAAAUUGAACUCGCUGUGAAGAUGCAGUGUACCCGCGGCAAGACGGAAAGACCCCGUGAACCUUUACUAUAGCUUGACACUGAACACUGGUCCUUGAUGUGUAGGAUAGGUGGGAGGCUUUGAAGCGUGGACGCCAGUCUGCGUGGAGCCGUCCUUGAAAUACCACCCUUUAAUGGCUGGUGUUCUAACGUAGACCCGUAAUCCGGGUUGCGGACAGUGUCUGGUGGGUAGUUUGACUGGGGCGGUCUCCUCCCAAAGAGUAACGGAGGAGCACGAAGGUUAGCUAAUCCUGGUCGGACAUCAGGAGGUUAGUGCAAUGGCAUAAGCUAGCUUGACUGCGAGAGUGACGGCUCGAGCAGGUGCGAAAGCAGGUCAUAGUGAUCCGGUGGUUCUGAAUGGAAGGGCCAUCGCUCAACGGAUAAAAGGUACUCCGGGGAUAACAGGCUGAUACCGCCCAAGAGUUCAUAUCGACGGCGGUGUUUGGCACCUCGAUGUCGGCUCAUCACAUCCUGGGGCUGAAGUAGGUCCCAAGGGUAUGGCUGUUCGCCAUUUAAAGUGGUACGCGAGCUGGGUUUAGAACGUCGUGAGACAGUUCGGUCCCUAUCUGCCGUGGGCGCUGGAGAAUUGAGGGGGGCUGCUCCUAGUACGAGAGGACCGGAGUGGACGCAUCACUGGUGUUCGGGUUGUCAUGCCAAUGGCACUGCCCGGUAGCUAAAUGCGGAAAAGAUAAGUGCUGAAAGCAUCUAAGCACGAAACUUGCCCCGAGAUGAGUUCUCCCUG
rnacentral:rRNA from 1 species